UGCUUGCACUUGGAUGGACUGAGUGGCGGACGGGUGAGUAACGCGUGGGUAACCUGCCCUUCAGAGGGGGACAACAGUUGGAAACGACUGCUAAUACCGCAUAAGCGCACAGCAUCGCAUGAUGCAGUGUGAAAAACUCCGGUGGUAUAAGAUGGACUCGCGUCCAAUUAGCUAGUUGGUGAGGUAACGGCCCACCAAGGCGACGAUUGGUAGCCGGACUGAGAGGUUGAACGGCCACAUUGGGACUGAGACACGGCCCAGACUCC
rnacentral:rRNA from 1 species